UACAGGGGGGGCAAGCGUUGUUCGGAAUUACUGGGCGUAAAGGGCUCGUAGGUGGCCAACUAAGUCAGACGUGAAAUCCCUCAGCUUAACUGGGGAACUGCGUCUGAUACUGGAUGGCUUGAGUUUGGGAGAGGGAUGCGGAAUUCCAGGUGUAGCGGUGAAAUGCGUAGAUAUCUGGAGGAACACCGGUGGCGAAGGCGGCAUCCUGGACCAACACUGACACUGAGGCGCGACAGCGUGGGGAGCAAACAGG
rnacentral:rRNA from 1 species